AGCACUGAGGAUGUCACCUAGACAGGGGAUGAAACGUCUGCAACAUAAAUUCUCAGCUCAGCGAACAGAACCACAACAGGAAAAGAAUAAGUCAGUCAUUUUGUUGUAUCGUAACAUUUGUAAUCAUAGGAUCCUCAUCUACCUCCUUUAGCCUUGUGUUUCAAGAAUACCUUUUACCACUUCCUAAAUCUGAUGCUACCAGACCUCCUGCCCCUUACCAGCAGCUGCUUUCCUCUCCUAUUUACAUAAAGUUAACUAUGAACUGAAAUUUUACUGGAAAAACAUUUUAUUUAUAAAGGGCCAGAGUUGAACAUUGCUAAAAUAAAAAUCUGGAUAUCAUCAGAGCUGUGUACCAAUGGUUUCUCAACUGCUUCUGUGUUAAAACCUUGAGAGACUUCCACGAAGCUGUGUCGUAAGUUCCAAAGGGUAAUGCAAGUUACCACAACAAAACAGAGGACUGUUUUAUUCAGAUGGAACUACAGGAAUAACUCGAAUCUAAUUUCCUAUUCUUUGGAAAUGUAUAUUGACAAAGCUCAGUUCUCCUGCGUCUUGGUUGAAUCCUCAUGUGGCCAUUGUUUUCACCUGUACACGGAUCAAGCUGGCUG